rnacentral:tRNA from 1 species
AGGGGUGUAGCUCAAUUGGCAGAGCACUGGUUUCCAAAACCAGCGGUUGCGAGUUCGAUUCCCGCCGCCCCUGCCA